AAUAUCAUUGUAAACAAUGCUAUCAGCGCACCCUCUGCUGGACAAACCAUGUAAUGACAGCAUUUCCAACAACCAAAGUGCUUUUCUGCAU